rnacentral:rRNA from 1 species
ACGAACGCUGGCGGCGUGCCUAAUACAUGCACGUCGAACGCUUCUUUCCUCCCGAGUGCUUGCACUCAAUUGGAAAGAGGAGUGGCGGACGGGUGAGUAACACGUGGGUAACCUACCCAUCAGAGGGGGAUAACACUUGGAAACAGGUGCUAAUACCGCAUAACAGUUUAUGCCGCAUGGCAUAAGAGUGAAAGGCGCUUUCGGGUGUCGCUGAUGGAUGGACCCGCGGUGCAUUAGCUAGUUGGUGAGGUAACGGCUCACCAAGGCCACGAUGCAUAGCCGACCUGAGAGGGUGAUCGGCCACACUGGGACUGAGACACGGCCCAGACUCCUACGGGAGGCAGCAGUAGGGAAUCUUCGGCAAUGGACGAAAGUCUGACCGAGCAACGCCGCGUGAGUGAAGAAGGUUUUCGGAUCGUAAAACUCUGUUGUUAGAGAAGAACAAGGACGUUAGUAACUGAACGUCCCCUGACGGUAUCUAACCAGAAAGCCACGGCUAACUACGUG